AGAAUGUAUUGUAUGCUGAUAGUAUUUAGGUUAUUUGUUUCACAUUUACCUCCACAAUGAACUGAGCAUAGCUUUAUAGCUCACAAUCCUUACUUCAUCAGAUGUGAUUGAAUUACAUCAUGUGAUUGAAUUAUACCUCAGCUUGCAUCAUGCUUGCUGCUUCUUUUGCCAGUUCCUUCUUUUUAUGCUUAACAUUGACAUCAGUGUCAGGAGAACAAGACUCACAUGUACACUCUUGUGAAAAUAAUGUUACUAAACAGUGAGCAGUAAUAUCUAGACUUUUAAAGGCCUUGCACGAAUAGGACGUUGGGUUGAAUUAUCAUACAAAUAAACCAUCCAAUACUGGCACUAAGCCAUUAGAACGUACUGUAGUGACACCAAUUGGCUCAAUAAACAAAUAUGGAACAGUUAAAACUAAGGAAAUAUGAGAAAUAAAUAACAUCAACCAUCUUGUGACAAUACAGUGUUCUGAUCUUCUAGACCUGGCUAAUGCAUUUGGUUCAGUUCCUCACAGUUUGUUAUGGGAAGCUUUUGAUUUUGAAGGGAAAGGCGGAACUAAAGUGUCUCAGCGGGUUUCCAGUCGGACCACUUAGAGCGGCGCACACUAAGCGAGUGAAGAUCAAAUCACAUUUCGAUCAAACAACAUGACAACUGAAGUUUAUAGGCAGCAAUGAUGGUGGACUAGAUGAUCCAGAUGAGGCACAGACAGAAAAUGAAGAGGCAGCUGCAAGUAGAGAGGGAUCCAGAGGAGUUAGGUGAAGAGGUCAACAAUGAAAGUGAUGGAACAGAGCAGGAAGAAAGGACAGAUGAGUCAGGCAGAAGAACAAAUGCAGACUGAGAGACAGGCAGAGAAUAGUGCUUCCUCAUCUACAUGCCCUGAACCAGCAGAUAUCAGCCAAUGUCAGCAAGAAGCACCAGCACAGCCAAAGUAGAAACUGUUUCCAAGGACCUUGAUGGGGGGACAGGGGAAGAAGCUUUAAAGUAGCCUGGUAUGACAUUCAUCCUUGGCUGGAGUAAUCCAAAAUGCUGGACUCGUCGUAUUGUUAUGCCUGCAGACAUUUCAGCCCCUCUAACAGCCAAGAGACAGUUUUUAACUGGAAAAAGGCAACAUACAAUGAGGGAGGAUUUGCAGUUCAUUCACGUCUGAGCACCAAUUUCUUAGUUUACAAAAGUUACAAAUUAUUAUGUUGCUGUUUUUCCGUCAAUGUUUUAUUUAACUACUCAAUUUAAAUUGUUGACAUUGUGAA